UUGAAGAUUGUAACCUUGGGGUUGGCUCUUGUCUAUGUUUCUUGGAACAGGACGUCACAGAGGGUGAGAAUCCCGUGCGAUGAGAUGCCCAAUUCUAUGUAAGGUGCUUUCGAAGAGUCGAGUUGUUUGGGAAUGCAGCUCUAAGUGGGUGGUAAAUUCCAUCUAAAGCUAAAUAUUGGCGAGAGACCGAUAGCGAACAAGUACAGUGAUGGAAAGAUGAAAAGAACUUUGAAAAGAGAGUGAAAAAGUACGUGAAAUUGUUGAAAGGGAAGGGUUUGAGAUCAGACUCGAUAUUUUGUGAGCCUUGCCUUCGUGGCGGGGUGACCCGCAGCUUAUCGGGCCAGCAUCGGUUUGGGCGGUAGGAUAAUGGCGUAGGAAUGUGACUUUACUUCGGUGAAGUGUUAUAGCCUGCGUUGAUGCUGCCUGCCUAGACCGAGGACUGCGAUUUUAUCAAGGAUGCUGGCAUAAUGAUCCCCAAACCGCCCGUCUUUGAAACACGGACC
rnacentral:rRNA from 1 species